rnacentral:rRNA from 1 species
CACGGGGGGAGCAAGCGUUGUUCGGAAUUACUGGGCGUAAAGCGCACGUAGGCGGCUCUUUAAGUCGGGGGUGAAAUCCUGGAGCUCAACUCCAGAACUGCCUUCGAUACUGUAGAGCUUGAGUUCGGGAGAGGUGAGUGGAACUGCGAGUGUAGAGGUGAAAUUCGUAGAUAUUCGCAAGAACACCAGUGGCGAAGGCGGCCUCACUGGCCGGAUACUGACCGCUGAGGUGCGAAAGCGUGGGGAGCAAACAGG